rnacentral:rRNA from 1 species
GAUGAACGCUGGCGGCGUGCCUAAUACAUGCAAGUCGAGCGAACAGACAAGGAGCUUUUUCCUUUGACGUUAGCGGCGGACGGGCGAGUAACACGUAGAUAACCUACCUCUAUGACUGGGAUAACUUCGGGAGACAGGAGCCACUAAUAGCUAAUAUAUUGUACGGCAUGAUUCAAUAGAGCAUGGCGGUUUUCGUGUCACAUAUAGCUGAUUUCGCGCCGUAUUAGCUAGUUGGUAAGGUAACGGCCUACCAAGGCAACGAUGCGUAGCCGAGCUGAGGGGGUGAUCGGCCACACUGGAACUGAGACACGGUCCAGACUCCUACGGGAGGCAGCAGUGGGGAAUCUUCCGCAAUGGGCGAAAGCUUGACGGAGCAACGCCGCGUGAGUGAUGAAGGUCUUCGGAUCGUAAAGCCCUUUUAUUAGGGAAGAAAAAAAGUGGAAGUAACUAUGCACGUCUUGACGGUACCUAAACAGAAAGCCACGGCUAACUACGUG